rnacentral:rRNA from 2 species
CCCCUAGUAACUGCGAGUGAAGCGGGAAAAGCUCAAAUUUGAAAUCUGGCGGCUCCGUCGCCCGAGUUGUAUUCUGGAGAAGCGUUUUCCGUGCCGGACCGUGUACAAGUCCCUUGGAACAGGGCGUCAUAGAGGGUGAGAAUCCCGUCUUUGACACGGACUCCCGGUGCUAUGUGAUGCGCUCUCGAAGAGUCGAGUUGUUUGGGAAUGCAGCUCAAAAUGGGUGGUAAAUUCCAUCUAAAGCUAAAUAUUGGCGAGAGACCGAUAGCGAACAAGUACCGUGAGGGAAAGAUGAAAAGCACUUUGGAAAGAGAGUAAAACAGUACGUGAAAUUGUUGAAAGGGAAACGCUUGAAGUCAGUCGCGUCUGCCGGAACUCAGCCUUGCUUCUGCUCGGUGCACUUUCCGGUUCGACGGGCCAGCAUCGGUUUUGGGCGGCGGACACUGGCGCGGGGAAGGUGGCAGCUCCGGCUGUGUUAUAGCCCCGCGUCGCAAACGCCGUCCGGGACCGAGGAAUCCGGCGCAAGCCUGGGAUGCUGGCGUAAUGGCUUUAAACGACCCGUCUUGAAACACGGACCAAGGAGUGCUACACGCUCGCGAGUGUUUGGGUGGAAAACCCGGACGCGCAAUGAAAGUGAAAGUCGAUACCCCUCGCGGGGGCACCGACGCCCGAGCCUGAUGUUUUCGGAAGGCCUUGCGGUAGAGCGAGUGCGUUGCGACCCGAAAGAUGGUGAACUAUUCCUGAGGAGGGCGAAGCCAGAGGAAACUCUGGUGGAGGCUCGUAGCGGUUCUGACGUGCAAAUCGAUCGCAGGACUUGGGUAUAGGGGCGAAAGACUAAUCGAACC